AUUGAACGCUGGCGGCAGGCCUAACACAUGCAAGUCGAACGAGUGGCGGACUGGUGAGUAAUGUCUGGGAGACUGCCCGAUGGAGGGGGAUAACUACUGGAAACGGUAGCUAAUACCGCAUACCAUCGGAUGUGCCCAGAUGGGAUAAGAGAGUAGGUGGGGUAACGGCUAACCCAGGCGACGAUCUCUAGCUGGUGUGAGAGGAUGACCAGCCACACUGGAACUUAGACACGGUCCAGACUCCUAAUGGAGGCAGCAGUGGGAAAUAUUGCACAAUGGGAGCAAGCCUGAUGCAGCCAUGCCGCGUGUAUGAAGAAGGCCUGCGGGUUGUAAAGCACUUGCAGCGAGGAGGCGUUACUCGCAGAAGAAGCACCGGCUAACUCCGUGCCAGCAGCCGCGGUAAUAC
rnacentral:rRNA from 1 species